UCCCGCUCACAUCGUCCUACUAGUCGACCGCGCUUACCCCUUCCCCUCCCUCUGCUCGACAUCGCCGCUGCCGUGGCGGCCCCGGCCCUAAUCCCCAAUCCAGGCGGACCAACAUGCAGCAUCGUCACCUCAUCUUGUCGCCCAGAGUCGCUCCGCUCUCCUCUUCCCCUCCGGGCUCUGGCAAUCGCCACCGCCUCCCUUUCCAAAGCGUGCUAGCCCCGCUGCCUCCUUUUCCCGCGACACAACCUCCCUUCCCGUGGCACGUCUGCUUGGCCAUCUCUUUGACUGUUUCCCUCGUCCUCAGUUGUGUGGACGGAGCAGCAGGCAAACGCCGCCAUGCCUGGUCCACGGGAGCGACGAGAAUGCUCUCGUGGCGACGUGGUGUUUGAAGCAGUGGAAGGAAGGUGUGGGAGGUGCCAGUCGCGCCAACACGGCCUCCCAGGCCUUUGGCGGUGCAUGGGCACAGUGAAGGUGGCGCAAGUGCACAGCAAAGUAGGCAAGUAGCAGCCACGACACACGGAGGACGAGAGCCAGAGCCCAGAGGCCGUUUACAGCUCAGGAGCGCAGCGAAAGUGGCACAAGUGCGCAGCAAAGGGCAAUGCAACAGCCUAGCAGACGACAAUAGCCAGAGGUUUUGUUAAUUCUGACAUGCCUCCAAGAUGUCCUAUCCUCAGGUACACAGGAAAACUCCAUCACCUAGAUUUUUUCCCACUCGAUGAUAGUUAUGUACCUACCCAUCAUCCUUUUUCUUUUUGCUUAGUUGCUUUCAAUUAAGAUAGUGCUUAAAGACACAUGAUAUGGGCAGAAAGAAAUAUUUGAGAGGGUUUUUCCCAUCUGGUUCUUCAUGUGCCAUCUAUGACCAAAGCUAGCCUUGCUAAUUGAUGCGACAAGGGAUUUUCAGUUGCCUGGAAGUAAAAUUAUUGUAAUACUUUGCUACUCUACAUCAGAAACCUCACUUGGAGCUGUGCUUGGCAACCAUUGGCAUUUGACCUGCAUGGAACUGUCAAUGAAUUGUGGGUGUACCUUACUGAAGCUUGUCUCAUUCUUUGAGCUAGGCAGAUGCAUGGGCUGGAAUGGAUUCCAAGCAGAUAUUUCAUCGGAACAUGAUUAUGUGUUAGCUGAUGCCUCGGCUUUUAGCAGGGUGUGAUCAUUGCAUCUUUUCUAGCCUGAUGGAGUUCUAUUGCUUUUGUUGUGCAUAUACCAUUGUUGCACCUUUUGUCACGCAUGUUUACUGUGGAGCGAAGCUGCCCUUGGAUUUUCACACGCUCUACCUGAUAACAUGUUUUAUAUUGUGUUCUUUUACAGACUGCUUGGUGAUAUCAAAAGAACGCAUACUCCCAUCCAUGAAUGAAACUUAUUUUCUGAAUGCAGGCUACACCAUCUUUCAAAGGGUGAGCUCUCACUGAUGAAUAUAUUUUUCGUAGAAGCCUGACCGGCCCACCCAUAACUCUAGCGAGGACACAACUAGCUGAGCUAUGCUCCUUAUAUUCUGAAUGCUUGAGAGGCUACUGCUACUAUCAUUUGCAUAAAUUGGAGGUAAACAAAACUAAAUUUUUUUUGCAUAAAUCAUUUGGAGGUAAACAAAACCCCAAAAAAGUGUACUAAUGAUGAUUUAUGUAUUACACUGCACCAUGCUAUGUUUUGUUCUAUACUGGCCAUUCUUCAGAAAUUGAAGUGCAAGAAGGUUGAUUAAUGUCCACUUUUUUUUUUAUAUAUAUCAUUGCAAAAUCUUGUACAGGACCAAUGUGAAUGCCCUUUCUUUUUACCUCAUUGCAACCUUCCUGGACCCAAUAUGAAGGGCAAGGAUUUCACCUUUGACAAUGCACUGGCGGAUAAGAUAGUAUCAAUGGCUUCCUGAUUAGUACAAAUAUUGAGAUAGGUCCUGAGCGCAUGGAUUUUAAUUGCUGCUUGGUGAUGUCUCUUAAUUUUUCCUUCCGUGCAACAACUUCCAUAUGCUAUCAAGUCUAGACUUUCAAUUAUAAUCCUUAAGACUGCCUCUUAGUUACGUUGUAAAUUAUCUGUGCCUGUU